rnacentral:sRNA from 1 species
GGACUACGUCAUGAGUGUGGCGCAGUAUCCUAGUUGGUAACUCCAGCUCCGAAGGCGGGCCUAAAAAUCCGCUAAAGGGCACAUCGAUGAAUCCUCUUGUGUUGGCUUUCGGCGCCCAGCCGAGGGUCGAUGCUGGGGGCAAGGUAGUCAGGGGAAUCCGCAAAGGCAUGCGGGUGUAUCCUGGCUACCGUGGAGACCUGGGUACGUGGUUUUUCGUCCAUUUAGGCAAGAAAAUUCAACACUACGGCUCAGGGUGUAAACCUGCAUGCGGCAGACUCUGUGUGCAGUGUAGCCUGCCUUGAGUGGUGGCGGGGAAUGGGUUUAUCCCUGAAACCGUUGCUGCAAAAGAGGCUAGGAGUUGGAAAGUGCCAUUGGAGAAAAUCCCUAGGCUGUUCUCUUAUGGGAAGCAGUCCGGGACUUGAAGUGCAGGCUAAGUGGCGAUCCGGCGCCAAUCUUACUGGGAAAGGCAUUAAAGGGAAACCGCCGAGAUGGCGACACUCGGUUGCUUUUUCGGGAAAACCCGCCGGACCUGAAGCCGCAGCAUUAGCCCGGACUGCUGCCACACUCACCUUUGGAGUA